rnacentral:rRNA from 1 species
CGUGCUUAACACAUGCAAGUCGAGCGCGAAAGUUUCCUUCGGGAGAUGAGUAGAGCGGCAGACGGGUGAGUAACACGUGGGUAAUCUGCCCUUAGGUGGGGAACAACCAUCCGAAAGGAUGGCUAAUACCGCAUGAGACCACACUUCUACGGAAGAGGGGUUAAAAGCUUCGGUCGCCUAAGGAGGAGCCCGCGUCCGAUUAGCUAGUUGGUAAGGUAAUGGCUUACCAAGGCGACGAUCGGUAGCUGGUCUGAGAGGAUGAUCAGCCACACUGGUACUUAGACACGGACCAGACCCCUACGGGAGGCAGCAGUGGGGAAUAUUGCGCAAUGGGCGAAAGCCUGACGCAGCAACGCCGCGUGAGUGAUGAAGGCCUUCGGGUCGUAAAGCUAUGUCAGAUGGGAAGAAACCGCUUAGCGGCUGACGGUACCAUCAAAGGAAGCACCGGCUAACUCCGUGCCAGCAGCCGCGGUAAUACGGAGGGUGCAAGCGUUGUUCGGAAUCACUGGGCGUAAAGGGCGCGUAGGCGGACUAUCAAGUCUGAUGUGAAAGCCCGGGGCUCAACCCCGGAAGUGCAUUGGAAACUGGUAGUCUUGAGUUCGGGAGAGGAAGGCAGAAUUCCAGGUGUAGGGGUGAAAUCCGUAGAGAUCUGGAGGAAAACCAGUGGCGAAGGCGGCCUUCUGGAACGUAACUGACGCUGAGGCGCGAAAGCGUGGGGAGCAAACAGGAUUAGAGACCCUGGUAGUCCACGCCGUAAACGAUGGAUGCUAGGUGUAGGGGGUAUUAAAAUCUCUUGUGCCGAAGCUAACGCGAUAAGCAUCCCGCCUGGGGAGUACGGUCGCAAGACUAAAACUCAAAGGAAUUGACGGGGGCCCGCACAAGCGGUGGAGCAUGUGGUUUAAUUCGACGCAACGCGCAGAACCUUACCUGGGUUUGACAUCCCGUGACAACCAUAGAGAUAUGGCUUUCCCUUCGGGGACACGGUGACAGGUGCUGCAUGGCUGUCGUCAGCUCGUGUCGUGAGAUGUUGGGUUAAGUCCCGCAACGAGCGCAACCCUCGCUACUAGUUGCCAUCAGGUGAAGCUGGGCACUCUAGUGGGACUGCCGGUGUCAAGCCGGAGGAAGGUGGGGAUGACGUCAAGUCCUCAUGGCCUUUAUGCCCAGGGCUACACACGUGCUACAAUGGCAUCUACAGAGCGCUGCGAACCCGCGAGGGGGAGCCAAUCGCAAAAAAGAUGUCUCAGUUCGGAUCGGAGUCUGCAACUCGACUCCGUGAAGUCGGAAUCGCUAGUAAUCGUGGAUCAGCAUGCCACGGUGAAUACGUUCCCGGGCCUUGUACACACCGCCCGUCACACCAUGGGAGUUGAUUGCUCCAGAAGUCGGUGCGCCAACCGUAAGGAGGCAGCCGCCCAAGGAGUGGUUGGUAACUG